rnacentral:rRNA from 1 species
UACGUAGGUGACAAGCGUUGUCCGGAUUUACUGGGCGUAAAGAGCGCGCAGGCGGUCGUUCAAGUCGAGUGUGAAAGCCCCCGGCUCAACUGGGGAGGGUCACUCGAUACUGAUCGACUCGAAGGCAGGAGAGGGAAGUGGAAUUCCCGGUGUAGCGGUGAAAUGCGUAGAUAUUGGGAGGAACACCAGUGGCGAAGGCGGCUCACUGGACCGGUACUGACGCUGAUGCGCGAAAGCGUGGGGAGCAAACGGG